UCUCUCUAUUUCUUCCUCCCUCCAUGACUUCCUCCUUUCCUCCGUCCCUCCGUCCAUUCUCCAUUCCACAUCUUUCUUCCCAAAGCUGCUGUACUUUGACCCUCCUUUGCUCACUCCAUUUUCUUAUUUCCCCCCUUUUUCCCAACUGCAUUGUCAGGUGCUAUUUAUUCAGGAUUUUCAAGAGCCCCCAGGACACAGGAGGAGAACUGGGUUCCCUCUGAUUUGGAUGGCUUUGGAUUAAGAGUGAGGUUGCUCCUACAGGGGAUUUGCUCACUAAGACUGUUGCUCCAGACAGCAACAGGGGAUGCAUCUCUCUACUGUCUUUUAAUAUUAAUCAUAGGAUCAUAAAAUGGAUUGGGUUGGAAGGAACAUUAGACAUCAUCCAAUUCCAACCUAUCUGCUGUAGGCAAAGUUGCCACACACUAGAUCAGGCUGCCCAGGGCCCUGACCUUAAUGAGAGCAUUCAAUACUUCCCUCCUUUUUCUUCAUUUCCCCUCUUUUUUUCUUUUUUUAUUCCUCUCCUUUUUCUUCUUUUUCUUUCCAUGUGACAAAAAUUAAAUAACCCUCAUUUCUAUUACAGGUUAUUAAUAAUCAUAAUUCAUUGUUGGAAAAUCAUUUUAGGUAUUUCCUAUCAGAAACAUUUGUGAUACACAAGACUGUUUGUCAUUCUCUCACCCAACACCCAUGUAUUCAAAAUCCUGAGUCCCAGCUAAUUAGGACUGUUGUUUCUCCUGCCUAAAACAGCACUACGUAGUAUGUUAGUCAACAGAGACAACAAGUCAUUGAUAAUAAUUGCAUAAUAAGCUCCAUUUUUUUAUUUGCUGUGUGCCAAUCAGAAGGGCAAGCCUGCUGCAAGAAGGGUUUGCAGUGAGGCUCUUGUAUCUCCAUCCCCUUAGUCCAGUGUGGAUGCUCACCUGGGAUGGGUCAUCUCACAGGCAGCAGGCCUAGUUAUAGCACUAAUAAAGUAGAACAUCAAUGUCAUAAUUCUUUCAGAGAAUUAUAGAACCAUAUCACCAUCUAGGUUGGCAAAGACCUUCAAAAUCACCAAGUCCAACCACCAGUAUGACCUAUCGAGUCCUGGCACUUUGUACCUUAAUGUUACAAAAUCCAAUAAUAGAAAAGGGGGGAAAGUACAGCAACAAAUGGAUCUGAGAAAGAAUGUUUUUUGGGUCAAUCAAAAGGAGUUUGACCUUUUUAGACUGUCAUCAAGACGCCUGGUCUGGAGAAUUGAUGACCAUGUCCAAAGGACCGUCAGAGGCUGCACUGCACCCUGGAAAGCUCUGAAGUCCAAUGGCAAAAAGCAAGAAACGGUGGUUGGACUCAGAAAAUGGGAUCCGAUUUCCAAGUUUCUAAAUUCCUGAGUUACUUAAAGGAGGAUUUAGGAGCCCACGUGAUGAAGGCAGUUUGGCCAACUGCGAUGUGACCUCAUGAAGAGCAAGCCCAAAGGAUUUUACUGUGUUUUGAAGUAUGCUAACGAUUGUUUGUGGGAUAUUCACAGGGCUUAUUUUAAUGUCAGAGAGGGUUUAGAUGAGGUUUUUCCUGUCUCAAAGUGCUGCACGUUGAAGCUGUGCAUUUUACGAUGGCAGCAGUACACCUGUACCAGUUACUCACAUACACCUGCCUCUGCCUCUCCUGUGGGCUGAGGAGCUGUAUCUGUGGAAAUAAAUGUGAUAACCACAACAGCAAAAUAGGCCCUACAGGUCUGGGCCACACCAGCUUGUUUGCUUCCUUUUUGUAAUUCUGAGAUUGACUUCUGAUUCUGAAAAUGGGUCCAGAGGUCUUUUCCAAAGCAGGUAUUUGCCAACGUGUCUCAUUUUGUUCCUUUUCCUUCCCGGACUUUCCUUGUUCCCUCUCUCUCUUCCAGCACUCUAGGGACUCUGCCCACCUAGCUGUUGAUGCCCUACAAGCCAAAAUCCAGAACACUCACACUGAGUAAUAACAGGGAAGGGAGGAUUCAGAAACCUUCCAGCCAGUUACAUCUGUUCUUGGCAAAGGUUGCACAAUCCAGAUGAAGACUGCGAGCAGCUUUUUUGCAGAAGCCCCUUUUCAAGAUGACGAUUGGCCAAGGAACUUUCUCAGACUCUGGAACAGAAAGGAAAAAAAAAGGACAAGGAUGCUUCUUAUUGUUUUUAAGCCAGCCACCUUUUAGUACGUGCAAUUUAUUUAGCACUUUUCCCUUUGCUUAACUGGGAAAUGUUCCCCUCUCAGCUCAUGUGUACAGUCAUUUUUUUGUUGUUGCCGUUGUUGCUGUUGUGCCAAAGAUUUGAUGGAGCUUCUACACUGUGUCUUAUUUUUGCCUUAAUGUUAAAUCCUUGAGCCAAAGAGAAGUCAGAGACACCAUUCGGAUUGCAGCAAGUGGGCCAGCAGCUGUCAGGGACAGAUCUGAAUUUCGGAAUCCUUCUGCGAGGUCCCUCUUAGCUCUCCCAUCCCGCAGCCCUGCCACUUGGCUUUGGUGUGGCAAUGAGUGGGGACACGGCACCGGGUGAUGAACCACCACGUUGUCUUCUUCCUUGGAGCUGCUCCAUAGUUCCACCUCCUUGGCCAAUUCCUGACGUUCCUGCGACAUCCACAGGGUAGGGAUACUGACGUGUAGAGAGAGCUGAAGCAGGAUCUAGGGUGUUGGGUUUUUGUUUGUUUGUUUUUUUAAUAAAGAAAAAAAAAUUAAGUAGAAGCUAAGCGCCAUGUGAAGCAAUAAAAGAAAAUCAAAGGGAAGUUCAGCUAGGCGGAGUGGAACGCUGCAACACAGUUCUGCAAGCGUUUCAGUUUUGUGAGGUCAUUUUCAUGGGGUUUUCAAGUGGUCAGAAACCCGUGUAAUGCAAAGGCAUUUGAAUCCUAUACUGUACCUUUCACUUCAAAUUGAAGUAAAAAGAAAGAAAAAAUGGAGAAACAUUUGCUUGGAGUAAGCAGACUUUAUAGGUAAUGCAGUUCGUGUGCUAAUGAUGGGGGACAGAGCUCUGUGUUCAAGAAUAUGGGUUUCCAAGCUCAGGAGAUUGACAUAUUUUGUUUCAAAUAAGGGGAAAGGUUAUAUUUGCAAGGCCCGGUUCAAAUCCCAGUUACAGCAGCAUAAAUCAGGUUCCUCGGUGUCUGAAGCUGGCCAGGAACUGGGAGGGCUGGGACUGGCACCAAGGUGUCCCAUCAAGCAUCUGUAGGAUCUCCAUCAGCGGGGAGGAAACUCUCCAUUCACCACAUCCUCCACCCUGCAUUGGCGCCAGGCUUGAGCUCUUCACUGGCUGCCUGUUUCUUUCCCUUUUAAAGCACAGGGGAGUGCUGAGCAUGCAAAACCUGAGCUUGCAUGAUCAGUGACUGUGGGUCUGGGGGAGGUCUCUGCCACAUCUCCUGGCUGAGGCAGGGAAGAGAGCAUCCUACAGAGGAUGCUCAAGAUUUGUUCUGUGUGAGUUCUGGGCACACAGGGGAUAAUGGUGUCCAGACCCUGAGGUUUUCAUUAUACUGCUCAUCACCCCCCACCCUCACCGCUGUUCAUUAUUAGCAGCCCAAUAAAUACAUUUUUAGAUUGA